AAAUAAGGUGAAAUCAUAACUUCUUUUCUUGCAACAACUCCAUUCUCUAAUUCCAUCAUGAAAUAUAGGCUGGAAAAUGCAUUCAAGAAAAGUGACAACAGCACAUCAAAAUUAGAGACAGAAGGAAGAUUUAACGAUGAAAAGGAACCGGAACUUCUGUUUGAAAAGAACUAAAUAAUCAGACUAAAGAUUUUGACUUACUCCCUGACAACACGUAUGUGCAGCAGCAGCCAUGCAUGGCCCAACAAUGUAAAGUGAAAAGAAGCUAAUUAGCAUAAUCCACAAUACAUUAUAUUCAGUAUUUAAUUACAAGGGUAAAUAGAAGCAUAAUGCAAGUAAUUGCUUCCAUGGAGGGAGCAAUUACAAAACAAAAGGAGGGAAAUGUCAUUGAUUGUGCUGGAAACUUAGAUUGAUGUAAAAAAACCAUUUCAACAAUUAAUAACGGAAAAGACAGAACCACCUACACAGUUCAAAGUGCACCGCUGCAUAGUAUAAAAUAUUAUAUAUAUAGAACCUCAACUCACAAACAGUUGAACAAAUAGUGCAUCGUAAUCUUUCAGAAUGAGUCUCUUGUAACCUAAGCUUUUAAAUCUCCAAAUAUUUCUUAGUGUUUUCUGCCGUGCUAUUCGAGGAACCUAACUCACAUGUCCACAUUGGGGGAUUUCUUCGCUGGACAACUUAGUCCAUGCAAAAGGGAAAUGACAGAUGUUACCAACAUCAUCUCAAAUUCUCAAUAGCUAGAUGUUAUGCAUCGAUUACAAAGUUGAUAAAACAAGUGAAUUAUGGCCAGCUACCAACUAGAUAGAGAAGAGAGAGCCAUAAAAAUUGAUCUCUACUUGUUAAUUAGAAGGCAACUAAAAAACGAUAAUUCUUGCCUAAUUAGGCGAUGUGGGAACUAAAACAUGGACAGCCAAAAUAAUGAACAUAAUAGCCGAGGACGAGAUCUAUCUAACAGAACUUUGCCAUAAACAUAGGAAGUCCUAAUUGAAACAGAAUAAUCCGUGACUCAUUAAUUAUCAACUAUCUGAAGCUCCACAAAAAUUUCAAUGAUCUCCAGAAAAAGAGAAGAAAAUGCAAUAAAAUUCAUACCGCAUCAUGAUAUUGACAGGAACCUUCGGGAUUAUCGUCUUCUGUGAAGGUGGCGUUGCAGCCGAUUCGGUGGCAACGGAGCUUAACAACCUCCUGCUCCAUUGUCUCCGUCUCUCAAGUCGCAGUCGGUGUUAGAAGACCGCGACGACUAUAAU
rnacentral:lncRNA from 1 species